UUCCUCCUUAAAUUAAGCCAAAACCCUAAGUGUAAGUGUGUGUUAGUGUUUGCCGCAAGCUAGAAAGAGUUGGGGUCAUUGCCUGGUAUAACCAGAAAAUCAAGAGAGGGAGGAAAAGUCUCCAUCGUCACUGCCGGAGCUGCCAUUGUUGGAGCUUCCAGUCGUCGGAUUCUGCCAUAGGGCCGCCACCAUUAUUGUCUUCGGAGCUAGAGAAAUAGGGGAGAGUAUUGUGUUGAUUGAAGCUUGAGUGGCAUUUGAGAGUGACACGCUCACCUAGCUCACGUAUGUAGUGUUACUCAUACGACAUGUUAUCAAGUGGAUCGUAUUUGUUAAUUCCUUCGAGAACUAGCGUGUGUGGGUUCAACUAUUAGUUUCAGUGUUGAUCGGCGCCUAGGCGCUUGACGGUCCUCUACCGUCGACGUUUAUAGCUAAUCGGAUUAUAUAAUCGGAAGUGGUCAAAGUCGGUCAAAGACGGGUCUAGGUGGUCAACGAAGUCAAUGUAAUUCAAAAAAAUUACAAGGGCAAAAUUGUCAAAAUGUGACAAAUGCUUCUAGGGUUAAAUCCGUUUUCUCAUUAGAUGCAGUAAAAAAACGACAUUCUCUCUGCCUGUCUGGACACAAACCACGAACGAGAACAAAAAAGUGAAAUAGGAGCAUCUUCUUCUUCCGUUCACUUCGACUUUAACUCUCACCGUCUCCAUCUCACGUCGUCGACUUUAGCUCCAGCCUCGGGUUCAUCAUCUCCUUCAAGCCAUGACGGCGCAGUCCCCUUCCAAGCUUCAGUUCACGACUUCAUCUCCUCCCGUCAUGAAGUUUCUCGGCCCACGAUUCCAGUUCACGAAGUAUCUUGGUUCCAAAAUCAACUCUUCUUCCGACAUCAGCUCCUCUCAUCGACAUUAAUUGAAUUUUCCAGCAAAGGUUAGUUUUUAGUUUUGUACUUCUCUGUGACAGCUUCUUCUGUUCACAGAAAGCAAUUAUCAAGUCUAAAUUUAUCAAUUGACCAUGGGUUAAGUCUCAAUGGUAUACAUCAUGCAUGAUUUAUGUGAGUUUGAUUUAUGAAGAUUAGGAAGCAAAAGGUGAAAUCGAUUUGAGAUUAGGAAAACUGAACAUCUGUUAACAAUUCUUCUUAUACAUCCGUUAACUGUUCUUCUGUGACAUUUGUUAAGAAAUUGAUCAUUUGUGAAAGCUGAUUAACAUGAAAAAUUUGUUAGGAAAUUUGGUAUCCGGUUAAUUGAACAUCUGUUGUAGCUGUUUAACAUGAAAUAUGUCAAGUAGUUUUUCUUUUUUGAAAUCUGUUAAAUAUAAAUAUGUUAUGCAUAUGUUGAGUUGAAAUCUGUUAAACAGAAAUCUGUCAAGUAUUUUUUCUGAAAUCUGUUAAAUACUUAAAUAUGAAUAUGUUGUGCAUUUGUUGAAAACUUGAAAUCUGAUAAACAUGAAUCUGUUAAGUAUUUCUUUUAGCGCUUUAGCAUUAUGGUAUUAACAUGAAUCUAUAAGUUGUUUGGUUGAUUGAUAAUCAUUUUGUGAAGCAUUUAUAAUAUAUUUUUUAAGGUGUUAAUUUUUUUAAUGUGUUAAUGUGAUGAUUUAACAAUUAACAAUCAAUGACUUCGAAUGCUUCGACUACACCGUCUGUGGGAUCAACCACCACUGAUACACAUAAACGGAAUUCGGAUGAUGUUGGUUGGGAAUAUGGUUUUAUCCCGGAUAAAAGCAACUUGGAUAGAUUGAAAUGUAAAUUAUGUGGAAAAGUGUUUGGCGGAGGGAUUACUAGAAUGAAACAACAUAUUGCUCAUGUGAAGGAGAAUGUAUCUUCAUGUCCAAAUUCUACAAAAUAUGAUCAAUUGAAAUGUUGAAAUUCUAUUAAUGAAGGGAAGUUAAAAAAGAAAGCUAAACAUUCGCAAGAUGAAGCCUUAAGAUUUGAGGUAAGACAAGAAUUUCAUGAUAGCGUGGAUGGAGUUGAAUCUUCUUUGGGGUUGAAGGCACCAAAUGUUAUAGGCCCCAUGGAUGGCUACGCAAACAAAAUAAACCCCGAAGAAGAUUUGAAUGCGAGAAAGGGAAAAAAUGUUGAUUUUAACAAUAUUGUCCGGAAAGAAAAAAUACUCACGGUCCAUAAAUACAUUAGUAAGUAGGCAUAUGAAAGCGCAAAUCCUUUUCAUGCCUUUGAAAGGGAUAGCUUCAAAAUGAUGCUGGAGGUUGUUGGCCAAUUUGGAAUCGGGCUUCCACUUCCUACUAGAUAUGCUUUGAGUGACACGCUUCUAAAGCAUGAGGUUGAAAUAACAAAAAACUUGUUGAAAAAAAACGAACAAGAAUGGAAAGAGGAUGGAUUCUCGAUUAUGACGGAUGCUUGGUCUGAUCGAAAGAGAAGGAGCAGUAUGAAUUUACGUGUUAAUUCAAAGAUGGGUACUAUUUUUUUUAUCUUCAAAAAAAUGAUCCAACGAAGCACAUACAAGCCAAAAAAUAUAUGAAUAUGUGGAGUCUUGCAUUCAACAAGUUGGUCAUGAGCAUGUUGUUCAAGUUGUGACCGAUAAUGCCACGAAUAACAUGGGGGCGGCAAAGUUGCUAAAAGAGAAGACCAUCUAUUUUUUGGACAUCACGUGCGACACAUACCAUUAACCUUAUGCUUGAAGGUAUUGGUGCACUCCCAAGGUUUAAGAAAAUUCUAGAUCAAGCAAAGAAGCUAACCAUCUUCAUUUAUGCUCACUACAAAACCUCGGCGAUGAUGAGAAGUUACACAAACAAAAGAGAAAUUAUCCGACCGGGAGUCACGAGAUUUGUUUCUAUCUUUCUAACAUUACAAAGUUUGGCCGAAAAAAAGGAGCAACUAAGACAUGUUCUCUAGCACCGAAUGGGAGGAAUGUAAAUUUUCUAGUACGCCUAAAGGGAUUACCUCAUAUAAAACGGUGUCAAGUGUCCAAUUUUGGUCUGGUGUGGCACAAUGUUUAAAGGUGUUCUCCCCUUUGGUGAAAGUCCUUCGAAUGGUUGAUGCGGAUUGGAAGCCCUCAAUGGGUUUUGUUUACGGGGAGAUUAAAGCUGCUAAAGAAGAAAUUAUCAUAUCAUUGGGCGGUAACGAGAAAGCUUACAAGCCUAUUAUAGAUAUCAUAAACAAAAAGAUGAAAGGUCGUCUAGAUUCAAGUUUACAUUUAACGUCUUAUCUUUUGAAUCCGUAUUAUCAUUAUAAGGAUCCACAGCUCCAAUAUGAUCCCGAUAUAAUGAAUGCGGUUCUUGAUUUUUUUGAUACGUUACUUUGUGACAAUUUUGAGAUGCAAAGGCAAGUUGUAACAAUUGAUUUGCCAAAGUACAAGAAAAAAGUUGAUAGAUUUGGUUACGAUCUUGCAAUUAAAAAUUGUAGGGUGAAUGAUGUCGAGUUUGAUCCCGGUAAUUCAUUUUACUUUUAGUUA